rnacentral:lncRNA from 1 species
CUCCCUGAACCUUUUCCAGGCUACACAUUCCCAGUUCCUUCAGCCAUUCCUUAUACAAAAAGGACUGAAUUUGGAUGUAUAGAAGGAGGAUAACUGAAAUUAUAGUCCAAUUUUUAAAAAGAACCAGAGAGACACACUGAAGUGAUACUGAAGAUCAAUAAGGACAGGCGGGGAUAAACAUGGAUGUAGAAAGCCACUCAAGAUACCAGAAAUCCAUGGAAGAAAACCAAAGUCAUCCAGCAUUACCAAAGAAAGUCAGCCCAGAGAAAAGAGAAAGUAGAUGUUUGUCUAGCACCAACCACAGCACAACACAGAGGCCAGACACCAGAAAAAACAGCAUAUGAACAAACAAGGCAAAGCCAUUGACUUGGGGACAGGUCUAAUGAACUAUCCACAUAGAUGAACUUUUACUGAGAGGCAAUUUACCUACAGAAGAAUAUUAUUAAUUUGCUUGCAGACAUUCUAUUCUAAAAGUAUGAAUAUUUGUUGCAAGAUUAAUUCUUAUCAUGUACCUGAAGACUUUAAAUGAUAUUUGUACAAUAUGUAACUUGCAAUUAUUUUAUUGGAAUUGUUCCAUGUUACCCAAAUUUGAUCAAAAAACAAAUUGAACAAUUGGAAAUGUUAUAAUAGUACAUUGGAUACUGUUCAAUCACAACAGAAAUUGUUUAUAUUAUCCAAAAUGUACGUAUGAUAAUUAUCUUACCUGAUUCAUUUUAUAUAUGCAAAAAAAGAAUGUCUUUAUUGGAAUCACAUUUGUUUAAAAGUCAAAUUAGCUGGAAAUUGCAUUUAAGUUUUAAAUGAAAAAAGGAAUGUAAUGGUACUCCUAAACAUCAAUCACUUCUCCAUCCCAGAAGGGCUAUAGGCUACUCCUAUGCAAUAACAUUUGGAGUAUAAUGAUAAGGAUUAAACUGCCUUGACAACAGCAACAACAUCAAUGACAAAUUGUGCUUAAAUCAGAUAGAAUAUACUUUGCGAUUUUUAAUUGAGAGCCUAAAUUACUUAAAGUGCCAUCUACAUCUAUGUAUAGAUUCUAUUCAUGAACAAUAUCUAUUUAGCUAUUAUGUACCAACCACCAUUGAUGUAGUUACAUGUUAAUCUUAUAGACAUGGGCAUCUACUCCAAAUGUCCAUUUUGUUCACAAAGCAUUUACUAUCAUUAUGCAUCCCUCCAAAUGCUUCAUAUUGACAAUCAUAGGAGCCAUAGUUUAAAUUAUUGCUAUAAUUACAGCAACAAUUGUGUUCACUAACUAUACAAAACCAAGGUUUUAUACAAAAGGUUGUAUCUAAUUCAUCUGAACUUUGACACACACAACAAAGUCUUGACCUUGCUUUUAAGGAUGAAUUAGAAAUUUUGAAAGAUGCUGUAUUUUGGCUAAGAAAAGAGGUUGAAGCUUUGCACAUUAGAAUUACUUACCCAUGUCAUUUCAACCAAACAGGAUAUUGUAUUAAACCUUUAAAAACAUAAUGAUGUUUAAUAUGAAUUUUACAUAUUACAUAAAUUUUUUAAUUUAAUUUUGCUAUUUGAUUUAGCAUUCAUUUUUACUUGUUAUUUUGCUAUAAUUAUUAUUUUUUUAGUUUAUAAUUUCUUUUUACCAUCAAACACUCUUGUUUUAAUUUUUAAACACAAAGAGGGAUAUGUAGCAUACCAGGCAUAUUAGCAUCUUGAAAGUAUGAUUGGUGUAUUGAUACUGUAUCUUAUGUGUUCUUAUACUAGAGUCAUGGUCAUGUUACUUAUUGAUUAUUUUAUUGCCAAAUCUUCAGUCCAAAGGUGAAAAAAGAAUUCCUGAGCAGGAGCCACAGGGUACUAGCUCACACCUUGUUAGAUAACACAUUCCUUUCCAAGUCACAUGUUUGAUUAACCUCCUCCUCUUUGAUUACAUGAUUGUCAAUUGAGCCAAUGUUAAAGUCUAUGCCAUGUCACAUGUUCAUUAGUUACCUACCACUACACAUUCAUAAACUCUCCAAUAAAAGUUUGAGGGCACGUGUGGAGCA